AUAGGGGAGCCGGAGGGAAACCGAGUCUUAAUUGGGCGUUAAGUUGCAGGGUAUAGACCCGAAACCCGGUGAUCUAGCCAUGGGCAGGUUGAAGGUUGGGUAACACUAACUGGAGGACCGAACCGACUAAUGUUGAAAAAUUAGCGGAUGACCUGUGGCUGGGGGUGAAAGGCCAAUCAAACCGGGAGAUAGCUGGUUCUCCCCGAAAGCUAUUUAGGUAGCGCCUCGUGAAUUCAUCUCCGGGGGUAGAGCACUGUUUCGGCUAGGGGGCCAUCCCGGCUUACCAACCCGAUGCAAACUGCGAAUACCGGAGAAUGUUAUCACGGGAGACACACGGCGGGUGCUAACGUCCGUCGUGAAGAGGGAAACAACCCAGACCGCCAGCUAAGGUCCCAAAGUCAUGGUUAAGUGGGAAACGAUGUGGGAAGGCCCAGACAGCCAGGAUGUUGGCUUAGAAGCAGCCAUCAUUUAAAGAAAGCGUAAUAGCUCACUGGUCGAGUCGGCCUGCGCGGAAGAUGUAACGGGGCUAAACCAUGCACCGAAGCUGCGGCAGCGACACUGUGUGUUGUUGGGUAGGGGAGCGUUCUGUAAGCCUGUGAAGGUGGCCUGUGAGGGUUGCUGGAGGUAUCAGAAGUGCGAAUGCUGACAUAAGUAACGAUAAAGCGGGUGAAAAGCCCGCUCGCCGGAAGACCAAGGGUUCCUGUCCAACGUUAAUCGGGGCAGGGUGAGUCGACCCCUAAGGCGAGGCCGAAAGGCGUAGUCGAUGGGAAACGGGUUAAUAUUCCCGUACUUGGUGUUACUGCGAAGGGGGGACGGAGAAGGCUAUGUUGGCCGGGCGACGGUUGUCCCGGUUUAAGCGUGUAGGUGUGUGUUCCAGGUAAAUCCGGUUCACUUUAACACUGAGGCGUGACGACGAGGCACUACGGUGCUGAAGCAACAAAUGCCCUGCUUCCAGGAAAAGCCUCUAAGCAUCAGGUAACAUCAAAUCGUACCCCAAACCGACACAGGUGGUCAGGUAGAGAAUACCAAGGCGCUUGAGAGAACUCGGGUGAAGGAACUAGGCAAAAUGGUGCCGUAACUUCGGGAGAAGGCACGCUGACACGUAGGUGAAGUGAUUUACUCAUGGAGCUGAAGUCAGUCGAAGAUACCAGCUGGCUGCAACUGUUUAUUAAAAACACAGCACUGUGCAAACA
rnacentral:rRNA from 1 species